UACAGAGGUCCCAAGCGUUGUUCGGAUUCACUGGGCGUAAAGGGCGCGUAGGCGGCCAAGUAAGUCCGAUGUGAAAUCCCGCAGCUCAACUGCGGAACUGCAUUGAAUACUAUUUGGCUCGAGGAAUGGAGGGGAGACUGGAAUUCUCGGUGUAGCAGUGAAAUGCGUAGAUAUCGGGAAGAACACCUAUGGCGAAGGCAGCUCUCUGGGACGGUACUGACGCUGAGACGCGAAAGCGUGGGGAGCGAACAGG
rnacentral:rRNA from 1 species